GUGUCAGCAGCCGCGGUAAUACGGAGGGUGCAAGCAUUAAUCGGAUUUAUUGGGCGUAAAGGGCGCGUAGGCGGGCCUUUAAGUCAGAUGUGAAAGCCCGGAGCUCAACUCCGGAAUUGCAUUUGAAACUGAGGGUCUAGAGGGUAGGCGGAGAAAAUGGAAUUCCACAAGUAGCGGUGAAAUGCGUAGAUAUGUGGAAGAACACCGGUGGCGAAGGCGAUUUUCUAGCUUAUACCUGACGCUGAGGCGCGAAAGUAAGGGGAUCAAACAGGAUUAGAUACCCUGGUAGUCCUUACUGUAAACGAUGUAUACUUGGUGUAACCGGACUCAACCCUGGUUGUGCCGAAGCUAACGCGAUAAGUAUACCGCCUGGGGAGUACAGUCGCAAGGCUGAA
rnacentral:rRNA from 1 species